rnacentral:rRNA from 1 species
UACGGGGGGGGCAAGCGUUGUUCGGAAUUACUGGGCGUAAAGGGCGCGUAGGCGGUCAGACCAAGUCGAGUGUGAAAUUCCAGGGCUUAACUCUGGCACACUCGCUCGAUACUGGUCGGCUAGAGUGUGGAAGAGGAUGCUGGAAUUCCCGGUGUAGCGGUGAAAUGCGUAGAGAUCCGGAGGAACACCAGUGGCGAAAGCGGCCACCUGGACUGUACCUGACGCUGAGGCGCGAAAGCUAGGGGAGCAAACGGG